rnacentral:lncRNA from 1 species
GUACUACAGAGUUUCCUUUCAUCCCUAGCAACUGAUGGGUGACAAAGGGAAUCUUGAACCUCUGCCUCACAAAGACAAACAAAGCUGACUCAAGGCACCUGUGUUCAGGAAUCUGACUAAGCUAGAAAGGGCAAAGCGACCCACGAUGGGUCUUUCUUCUUCCCUUGUGGCCACUGGCAGCUUCUGAGAUCUACAGACUGGAUGAUUAAGAAAACUUGCCAAAAACGGAGACAGAAGCAGGAGUUAAAAGGAAAGGUCUCAGCCUGCUAUGAACCCCAUCCUCUGCUCCUCAACAAUGAUCCUCCAGUCCCCACAUCCCAGUAUCAGCCUACACCGAACCCUGUUCUCUGCUUACCCACAACUCUAAGCUGAUCCUUUGGACUGGAGCCUAGCAUGGCUGUCCUUUGAGAGGCUCCACCUAGCAGUUGACUCAGAUGCAGAAAUCCACAGCCAAAGAUUGGAUGGAGCUUGGAACUCUUUUAUGGAAGAGUUGGAGGAAGGAUUGAGGGCCCAGAAGGGGACAGGAACUCCACAAGAAGACCAACAGAGUCAACUAACCUGGACCCUUGGGGGCUCUCAGAGACUGGACCACCAACAAAAGAGCAUACAGUGGCUGGAUCUAACUGCCCCCUUUUGCCUGUACUAUGGACAGCUCUCAACCCACCCCUACCUGCCCUCGGGGGUUGGGGGUGAGGUGGCAUAGAGUCAAGGACACGGACAGACCCCUGGUAACAG